rnacentral:lncRNA from 1 species
CGGCUGACUGCAACCUCUGUCUCCCAGGUGCAAACGAUUCUCCUGCCUCAGCCUCCCAAGUAGCUGGGAUUGCAGGUGUGUGCCAUCACACCUGGCUAAUUUCUGUAUUUUUAGUAGAGACAGUUUUGCCAUGUUGACCAGGCUGGUCUCGAACUCCUGACCUUAGGUGAUCCGCCAGCCUCGGCCUCCCAAAGUGCUGGGAUUACAGGUGUGAAC